rnacentral:tRNA from 1 species
AGCUCAGCUGGUAGAGCAGAGACUGAAA